GCAUAUCAAUAAGCGGAGGAAAAGAAACUAACAAGGAUUCCCUUAGUAACGGCGAGUGAACCGGGAAGAGCUCAAAUUUGUAAUCUGGCGUCCUUCGGGCGUCCGAGUUGUAAUCUAUAGAGGUGUUUUCCGCGCCGGACCACGUUUAAGUCUCCUGGAACAGGGCGUCAUAGAGGGUGAGAAUCCCGUCCUUGACAUGAACUACCAGUGCUCUGUGAUACAUUUUCAACGAGUCGAGUUGUUUGGGAAUGCAGCUCAAAAUGGGUGGUAAAUUCCAUCUAAAGCUAAAUAUUGGCGAGAGACCGAUAGCGAACAAGUACCGUGAGGGAAAGAUGAAAAGCACUUUGGAAAGAGAGUUAAACAGUAUGUGAAAUUGUUGAAAGGGAAACGAUUGAAGUCAGUCGUGCUCUUUGGAUUCAGCCGGUUCUGCCGGUGUACUUCCUUUGAGUGGGGUCAACAUCAGUUUUGAUCGCUGGAUAAAGGCUGGAGGAACGUAGUACCCUCGGGUAAACUUAUAGCCUCCUGUCACAUACAGUGGUUGGGACUGAGGAACGCAGCACGCCUUUAUGGCCGGGAUUCGUCCACGUACGUGCUUAGGAUGUUGACAUAAUGGCUUUAAACGACCCGUCUUGAAACACGGACC
rnacentral:rRNA from 1 species